rnacentral:pre_miRNA from 1 species
UUUUUAGUGUAAGUAUAUCCCAUGCAAUAUUUGGGAAAUAUUUUUACUAAAA